UACUAUACUAUUUGGGAACAAACUUCUUUUUUCUCAUAAUUUUGGAUUUAUUUUUUGUGCACUUAUCCUGCUGACACGUGUUUUUACUGUUCUGUUAUUGUCUGGGGUGCGUCUUUUGAGGCGUCUUGCAAUUUCGUUUUGAUUUGGUUCUGUCUUGCUAGAGGUGUGGUGUUAGUUUCUGUGUUAGAUCUGGGUGAGUGUAGCAGAUCUUCGUUUCUUCCUUCCAUUCAACCUGAUGGGUCAAAGCGGUGUGAAGGGCUACCACCGAGGAACCCACGACAUAUUUCUUCCAGCUCCCCAUCAUUAUCGCUUUAACUCCUCCCCAAUCCUCAUCGUUAAGGUUCCGAAAAAAACUCCAACUCCAGCCACAAAGCCGUAGUCCAAUGGCGAGCGGCGGCACGACGACCCCGAGCGCUUCCUCCUCCUCCAUCAGCUUAGUCUUCGCGCCUCCGCAGGGUGCCUACGAGCUCCUCCAGAGUGGCGUCAAUUUAGAUAGCUCACUCGCACGGAGCGAGCAGAUGCCCUUGCCGCACGUCUCAGCUGCGGACAUACCUCCGUUGUUAGGAGCAAGAAGCAGAGGCCAUGGACUGGGUGGGGAUCCGGAGCAUCCCGUCGGCGGUGGCGGCGAUGGCGGGGUCAGUGCCGGCUCGGACUGCUGCAACAGCCAGCGCACGGUCUCGCCGGCGGACUUGUAUCCUACCUGAGCGCAGACCUCCAUGGAGGAAAAAGUUUAGUUGGGCACGGGCUGCAUCGGUGAUGAGGAGCGUGCGGAGGCCGUCUCGGCCGUCAUCGAUUCGGCGCGACGUCCUGGGGCGCGAGAACCUGCUCCACUUCGUCGCCCGCCUCUGCGACGCUGUGGCAGUCAAGAUGGUCAGGGCGGCGGCACCCAUCUUUCCUUGCCGAGUCGGCUUGUGGCGCCAAGGAGGACUUGGCAGGGGGGCGGACAACAGCCUCCGCUGGCAGGGGAGCUGCUGACGAAACCCGCUAGAUGAUCUAGGAUGAGUGAGGAUGAACCAAUGUCACGAUUUCUGCAAUAAUACAGGUUCAACCUUGAAGACGACUGUGUGUGUUAGUGUUAUAAGAGACGACAUGGCUGAUUUGCAAGCACGGCCACAUGUCAGGAAUUAUGAAGUUCACAAUUAGAAAAGCUGGUAGAAUUUAUUCCGAUAGUGGUUCCCUGAUAAAAAAAAAAUUCAGUAUACGUUUCACAGGUGCAGUGGUUCCCUGAUGGUGUCAUAUUUUCUUCAGAAAAACCAAAGACGGCUCACCUGCAAGGUAUCUCAUGUCCAAAGACGGCUGACCUGCAAGGUAUCUCAUGUUUACUUGAUCUGUGCGUUCCACCUUUUGGUACACCUUAUUUUUGUAUCUCUCCUAUAUCCCUUCGUAGUAUUGGUGGCAUAUGUUUGGAGCUGAAUAUGAUGUAAUAUCCUUUUAGCAUGCAUGUUACAUCAGUAACUUUAUUCUGAAUUAUGUUACUGAUAAUAUGCAUUGUUCUUUUGCUGUUCUGAAUGUGUAUCAGGGGAAUUUGGUUUCUUUAGAACAAAAAAUGUUCAAAGCUAGGGUAUAUUUGCUUAAUAUGGUCCAUACAAUUAAUAACACAUAAUACAAUUACAAAAAUUAUCAUGCAUUUCCAGUGAUCUGACGAGAACUCUAUGUUAAAACCUGGUGCUUCUCCAUUGUGUGGUUCUGAAACAGAUGCCUCUCUGAAGAAAGAAUUAACCGAGGAUAUGAGAGCUACCUCUGUCUCAAGCUCAGCCCAUGGCACUUAUCCAUUUUGUGCUUCAGAAGCAACUAGCUCUCUUAAGAAAUAAGCAAGUGAGGAUGUCGGAACAUGAUCUGUCGUAAGCUCAGACCCUGGCACUUCUCCACUUUGUGAUUCAGAAGCAGAUGUCUCUGAAGAAAGAAGCGCCCGAGGAUUCCGGAACAUGCUCUGUUGUAAGCUCGGACCAUGUUACUUCUACAUUUUGUAAUUCAGAAGUAGACAUUUCUCUGAAGAAAGAAGCAACCGACGGUACCGGAACAUACUCUGUCCAAAGCUCAGGCCCUGCCAGUUCUCCAUUUUGUGAUUCAGAAACAAAUACCUAUCUAACGAAUGAGGCGACCGACGAUAUCGGAACAUCAUCUGUUGCGAUCUCAGGCCCUAUCACUUCUCAACUUCGUGUUUUGGAAAAAGAUAACCCUCUGAAGAAAGUAGCAGGCAGUGAUAAUAUACAGCAUUUGCAUAUCAACAUAUCUGAUUCCGAGACUGAAACAUCAACCCCUCGCAUAAACACGACUUUAUUAUAAUUGAUUUAGGAGCUCCAUUCGCCUUGACUGAAUGACAAUUGAAAUAGGAAAGUUUUUGAUUUACCUAUUCUGGAUUAAUUUGUCUGAUGUAUUUGAUUGUCUUUUGCCUAAAAUUUAUGUUGAGUUGUAAAUUUAAUUCCACUCGCUAUGUAUGCCUUUGUUUAUGCUUAUGGUCAUGUUGCAUUACUAUUAUGUUUUCUUUUUCAAACAGAGUAAGCUUUUAAUCAUUCAUAGAAAUUGUUGAUGCAUGUUUCUUAACAAGGCAGGGCUGACUUUGGUCACUCCCUGCUCAGACUCUCCGCCUGUCUGCGCUCUGUCAGUGCACGAGAGUGUGCAGUGAUUGAUGGAGCGUGUGAACUGUAUUUUUCUGUAUAUUUUACACUGAGAGCUGAUAUAGCAGACGACUAAGUAUUCAAACCAAGUUAAAUAAAUUCUCCCUUUAAGGUAUCCUUUACUUUAUUUUCUCGGUACCAAUUUAUUGAUAUGAACUUUCAGUUUGCAUAAAGUUUGGUGUUUUCCUUAGAUCGUUUUAUUAAUAUAUGGGUUCAUACAAUGGUGCACUCUUUUUUGCUUAGAAUAAUUGUUGUAGCUGAUGUGAGUUUGGUGGGCAAGUUCAUAUGCUAUGCAUCGCUUAUGGGUUCAUACAAUGGUGCACUCUUUUUUGCUCAGAAUAAUUUUUGUAGCUGAUAUCAGUUUUGUGGGCAAGUUCAGAUGCUAGGCAUCGCUUCUGCUGCUAUUUAUGUUUCACAUGCCUCAGCAUAUUGUCUUAGUUAUUUAAUUUACAAGUUAUUUUUCAUUGGAAGUCAUAGCAAGAGAAACAUUGAUGUAUAUUGUCUUCAAUUAAUUCGAAGUAUAGCUUAUAUCUUAUUGCAACUUAUCAACGGCCAAACGUCUAUAAUUCACAGAAGAUUGGAUUUAGUGGGAAAGGGCUAAAUUUUUCGCCAUGUUUUCCUUUUGUAACUAUGGACUUUUGAACUUGUUUUUAUUGCAAGGGAACACCAUAAUAACUACCGUUAUAUGGCCACGCAUAAGAAUUUCAGUUGUAGGCUCAUUAUUAGCAAGCUAAGUUAAUAUGAACUUGGGUAAAUUGCAGGUAUAUAGGGCGAUAACGAGAUACGGAGGGUGCCAACGAUGGACCUAGAAAACUCUUCAGCUUUCAGCGAGGAUGGACCACAAACCCAUAUAGUCACCUCUACAAUGCACAUUCAAGGCAGCGCCCUGACGUGAAUCUUCCCAUGCUGACAAGAAGCGCAGACAACUCAAAAGAUGGUGUUUGUCCUGCUAGCGGUACGCGUGGCAGGCCACCCGGACCUUGGCGCCGAGGGCAUGGAAUGUCCAUCGAUGUCUCCAAGAUGCGGCUUCCUCUCCGGUGCGUGUAUGCGGCCACCGUCCUCGCUCUCAUUCCUAUUCAGAAGUGAUAGACAUACAAGUCUCACCACUGAAAAACUUAUCACCCCACGUGUCGAAUCUGAGAGUUGCAAGUAUUAGUAAAUGAAGAAUAUGCGAUGUCGAAUCUGAGAGUUGCAAGUAUUAGUAAAUGAAGAAUAUGCGACGAGUUAGAUUAUAUUGUUGUGGACCAUGAGGGAAACACAACGGAAUGACACAUACAAGGCAACUGUAUAAGUCAGUUCAAGGACCCCCUAAAAGAAGGUUCAGUAUAUACAAUAGAGAGCUUGAGACACGCAAGAAAUACAUGAAAAUGGAUCAGCAAUAUAGAUUCAAAUUUACUCAGCGCAGAAAGGUGAAUGAAGUUGUCCCGGAGCCUCAAAACAUUCCCCUGUUUGUAUACAAUGCAAAAGCCCUUUGGCAUUUUAGAGGCACGAGUUUACACUGCAUGUCUUUCACUAUCUUUUUCUGUGGAUAUUACCUUAAGUGAUACACAUAGAACACAUGCUACUUAUUCCAACGAUUUCCUAGAGGAAAAGCUUAAAUAGUAUACAAUUGUUGCACAAGACGUGUCUAAUGAUCUGCAAUUAUGCUCACUUAAUUAAAGAUGCCAGCUGCACAUCUGAAAAUAAGAAAACGAAGACCAAACCAUUGCCUACUACAUCAAGCAAGAAGCAGAUCAACAAAGACUCCUCAGGCGAUAGGUAAACACCAGACUUCAAUACAAUUCAAAGAGCUGUAGCACCUUUGCCAAGAAAAUGCUAAUUUUAGUCUCAUUUUCCUUUUAGUAGAAAAAAACAGCCAAAAAAAGAUAAGCUUAGCUGAAUAUCCAUGACAGAAAAGGAAUGAAGCAGCACAGACAAAGACUGAGCGCAUUGGCAGAUUAUCCAUGUUUAGAUGCUCUUUGAUAGUCUGCUAAUAUGUUGAGUAGUGCUGUCUGCAACAAAUUAUUAUCAUUCUCAUUUUCAACAAAAAAAUGGAAGUUAACUUCAAGAUACUUCUUUUAGUUCUGAAACUUUGUGUUGCCAGUGUAAAGUUGUCAACAAUAACUAAAGAAAACUAUCUACUGAUAUUUUGGGUGUUAAAUAUUAUAGAUUAUCUGUGCUACUACAAAGUCUUGAUUCUGAAAUCCAUCUGCCGAAAUAUCUUAGCUAACUAUUAUCCGUGCAUACAUUGCCUUUUUACUCAAAUCAUCAUACCUUAACGCUAAUAUUCUAUUGAGUACAAUGACAUUGCUCAAGUUAAAACGCAGGUUAGUUCUGACACAUUGGUAAAGAAAGCAUAUGAAGGGUGGAUGCAUGAUGUAGGAUAUGAUGGUUCGAUCAAUGCACAGAAACAAUUAUUUGCAGGAAAAGCUAGCAAAACUUCUGCAGGUACUACAAGUGAAGGUUUUCGCAAGUUUAGUCAAGUCAGCUCAACCUAAGGAUCCAAGAGGAAGAAUAAAACCACAAAUCUGCUAACAUUUAUCAUCAGAAAGACCAUGUAUAGAGCUGCUAAUCUACAUUCGGUAUCUAGGAAUAAAGACUUCUAUUAUAUUGUGUAUUAUUAGGUGCCCACCAGGCAAAUAAGUUACUUUUAUUGUGCUACUAUGUUCUUUAUUAUACUCUAUUUCUUAGGACUUUCAUGUAUUAAGUGUCUGAUAGGCAAGCAUGUGUACUUAUAUUAGGACUAAUCUGUUCAUUUAUGUUUGUGAAAACCUCUACAAGUACUUUCAUCGUAUUAUGAUGCCAAACGUCUGUAGAUAA